GAGAGUAUAGCUCAGUGGUAGAGCGUGUGCUUAUUAGCAUUCACAGGGUCCUGGAAUCAAUCCCCAGUACCUCCA
rnacentral:tRNA from 1 species